AAGACCCUGAAUAACAGGAUGUGGGCCAAGCUGGCUAAGAAUGACUGGACCCAACAUGGCCCUGGAUUUGACCUAUAGGAUCUCACUAUAUGCUCAUUAACAUAAUCUCACAUCCACCAGCACCAUAACAGUUCUGGGAACACCCAUAUUUGGUGUAAAAAUGGGUGGUGCCACAGUUCUGAGAAAUCUUCACCUUUUUCCAGAAGUCUUCAUGAAUAUUUCAUCCCUUGGUUAAAGAAACCCAUAAAAAUAGAAGCCCCAAAGCCUAUUGGGUGCGACUCUCUUGAGUACACUUGCACGCCCCUUUCUUGAGAGUGUGCUUUCACUAUUUUCUGACUUGUCCUUGAAUUCUUUCUCAAGACACAGUCAAGAGCUUGGACAACGGGCAGGGUCAAGGUCCCACCAGUGUUCGGGGAUCUCACCUAGCCCACUGGUAUCAAGAGGCAGUGAGUGCAUGGACUAGAGGUACAGAUCUGGAAACCAGCAACUUAUAGAGGGAGGGAGAAGCAAGGGGAGAGAAUGAGCUCAAGAUCAACACUGCCUAGCAAGACUACUUUGUUUCUUUGGUCUGUUUGCUCUCCCACUUUCUACAAUGACAAUUUACCUUUUCCACCUUCUUCAAAACUUCUACCACCCCUACUCAAUCCACACAAACACACACCACGACCACCACCACUACCAUCAUCAUCAACUGAGCCCCAGAUCCCAAACUCUUCUCCUGAAUCUUACCCACUAUUCUCUCCCUUUUCUGUAUCUUUGGUCACAACCUAAUAUUUUCUCCAUUCCAUCAUUGUUUAUACAAGCUCAAGUCUCUCACAUCUUUAGGAUAAUUUUCCUUGAUCCCACUCCUCCUUCCAGCUACCAUUCUAUCCUUUUCCCCUUCAUUGUUAAACUUCUUCAAAGAGUUGUCUAUUCUUACUGCUUCCAUUUUUUUCACUUCCCACUCAUUUCUCAAUCUACCUUAAUCUGUAUUCCGCCCACAC
rnacentral:lncRNA from 1 species